UACGGGAGGCAGCAGUGGGGAAUAUUGCACAAUGGGCGAAAGCCUGAUGCAGCUAUGCCGCGUGUAUGAAGAAGGCCUUAGGGUUGUAAAGUACUUUCAUCGGGGAGGAAAAACAAAACUAAUAAUUUUAUUUCUUGACGUUACCCGAAAAAGAAGCACCGGCUAACUCCGUGCCAGCAGCCGCGGUAAUACGGAGGGUGCUAGCGUUAAUCAGAAUUACUGGGCGUAAAGAGCACGUAGGUGGUUUUUUUAAGUCAGAUGUGAAAUCCCUGGGCUUAACCUAGGAACUGCAUUUUGAAACUGAAAUACUAGAGUAUCGUAGAGGGAGGUAGAAUUCUAGGUGUAGCGGUGAAAUGCGUAGAUAUCUGGAGGAAUACCUGUGGCGAAAGCGGCCCUACCUAAACGAAUACUGACACUGAGGUGACGAAAGCGGUGGGGAGACAAACGAGGAUUAGACUACC
rnacentral:rRNA from 1 species